rnacentral:rRNA from 1 species
UGGGGAAUUUUGGACAAUGGGCGCAAGCCUGAUCCAGCCAUGCCGCGUGCGGGAAGAAGGCCUUCGGGUUGUAAACCGCUUUUGUCAGGGAAGAAAUCUUCUGAGUUAAUACCUCGGGAGGAUGACGGUACCUGAAGAAUAAGCACCGGCUAACUACGUGCCAGCAGCCGCGGUAAUACGUAGGGUGCAAGCGUUAAUCGGAAUUACUGGGCGUAAAGCGUGCGCAGGCGGUUUUGUAAGACAGAGGUGAAAUCCCCGGGCUCAACCUGGGAACUGCCUUUGUGACUGCAAGGCUUGAGUGCGGCAGAGGGGGAUGGAAUUCCGCGUGUAGCAGUGAAAUGUGUAGAUAUGCGGAGGAACACCGAUGGCGAAGGCAAUCCCCUGGGCCUGCACUGACGCUCAUGCACGAAAGCGUGGGGAGCAAACAGGAUUAGAUACCCUGGUAGUCCACGCCCUAAAACGAUGUCAACUGGUUGUUGGGAAGGUUCCUUCUCAGUAACGUAGCUAACGCGUGAAGUUGACCGCCUGGGGAGUACGGCCGCAAGGUUG